rnacentral:rRNA from 1 species
GACGAACGCUGGCGGCGUGCCUAAUACAUGCAAGUCGAGCGGACGGAUGGGAGCUUGCUCCCAGACCGUCAGCGGCGGACGGGUGAGUAACACGUGGGCAACCUGCCUGUAAGACUGGGAUAACUCCGGGAAACCGGGGCUAAUACCGGAUAACUCUUUCCCUCACAUGAGGGAAAGCUGAAAGAUGGCAUCUCGCUAUCACUUACAGAUGGGCCCGCGGCGCAUUAGCUAGUUGGUGAGGUAACGGCUCACCAAGGCGACGAUGCGUAGCCGACCUGGGAGGGUGAUCGGCCACACUGGGACUGAGACACGGCCCAGACUCCUACGGGAGGCAGCAGUAGGGAAUCUUCCGCAAUGGACGAAAGUCUGACGGAGCAACGCCGCGUGAGUGAUGAAGGUUUUCGGAUCGUAAAACUCUGUUGUCAGGGAAGAACAAGUACCGGAGUAACUGCCGGUACCUUGACGGUACCUGACCAGAAAGCCACGGCUAACUACGUG